GGAGACUGCCGGUGAUAAACCGGAGGAAGGUGGGGACGACGUCAAGUCAUCAUGGCCCUUACGAGUAGGGCUACACACGUGCUACAAUGGCGCAUACAGAGGGCAGCCAACUUGCGAAAGUGAGCGAAUCCCAAAAAGUGCGUCGUAGUCCGGAUUGGAGUCUGCAACUCGACUCCAUGAAGUCGGAAUCGCUAGUAAUCGUGGAUCAGAAUGCCACGGUGAAUACGUUCCCGGGCCUUGUACACACCGCCCGUCACAC
rnacentral:rRNA from 1 species